GACGAGGGGUCCAAGCGUUGUUCGGAAUCAUUGGGCGUAAAGCGGGUGUAGGUGGCUUUGUAAGUCAGGAGUGAAAUCCCCGAGCUUAACUUGGGAAGUGCUUUUGAAACUGCAGGGCUUGAGUGUGGGAGAGGAUCGUGGAAUUCCAGGUGUAGUGGUGAAAUACGUAGAUAUCUGGAGGAACACCGGUGGCGAAGGCGGCGAUCUGGCCCAACACUGACACUGAGACCCGAAAGCGUGGGGAUCAA
rnacentral:rRNA from 1 species